CCUACGGGGGGCAGCAGUAGGGAAUCUUCCACAAUGGGCGAAAGCCUGAUGGAGCAACGCCGCGUGGGUGAAGAAGGUCUUCGGAUCGUAAAACCCUGUUGUUAGGGAAGAAAGUGCGUGAGAGUAACUGUUCACGUUUCGACGGCAUCUAACCAGAAAGCCACGGCUAACUACGUGCCAGCAGCCGCGGUAGUACGUAGGUGGCAAGCGUUAUCCGGAUUUAUUGGGCGUAAAGGGAACGCAGGCGGUCUUGUAAGUCUGAUGUGAAAGCCUUGGGCUUAACCGGAGUAGUGCUUUGGAAACUGGGAGACUGGAGUGCAGAAGAGGAGAGCGGAACUCCAAGUGUAGCGGUGAAAUGCGUAGAUAUAUGGAAGAACACCAGUGGCGAAAGCGGCUCUCUGGUCUGUAACUGACGCUGAGGUUCGAAAGCGUGGGUAGCAAACAGGAUUAGAUACCCUUGUAGUC
rnacentral:rRNA from 1 species